GUACAAAGGAUAACAUAGUGCAGCUGUAAAGAGCAGACGUUGUGUUGACAUCGCCAUGUUGAUUCCGGUAAUUUCGUGGUAUCAAUCUGGCGGAAGCAGAAUCGUUUCCUGACGGAAAAUGAUUGAACAAACGGAAACUGACAUAACUUCGAGCGCGAAUACAGCCGAUUUGGAAUUUGCGGCUCCGGAGAAACAGAAGGCCCGUGCAUUUCUGCGCGAACGCUUUCUACGCGUUAUUACCGGCAUUGUUGGCAAACAAACGGAAUUUUAUUUACACGAAAACACUCGUGUGCUGGGUGAAUUCAGGGGUUGCGAUAUGGAAUGUUCUGAGAUCUUUGUGAGGAAUCUGAAAACACCAAUGGGCACGAUUCCGGAAGCUAUUCUGCGAAGUGGUGAUGUUAUCUAUUUGGAUAUAAGCAACAUUAAUAUUGAUUAAUGAGAAAGUGAAGAAACAUAAGAUCAAAUUUCAUGGGUACGGAAAUAACGUCCGAAGAGGAGAUAAGAUAGCGAUGGAUUACCGGCAAAUUAUACAGAAACCCAACAGAGAGCAGAGGGUGAUAGCGCGGAUAACGUUAAUUAUCCAAA